rnacentral:rRNA from 1 species
GUGUCAGCCGCCGCGGUAAUACGGAGGGGGCCAGCGUUGUUCGGAAUUAUUGGGCGUAAAGGGCGCGUAGGCGGCCAUUCAAGUCGAACGUGAAAUCCCUCGGCUCAACCGGGGAACUGCGUCCGAUACUGUUUGGCUCGAGUCCUGGAGAGGGUAGUGGAAUUCCCAGUGUAGCGGUGAAAUGCGUAGAUACUGGGAGGAACACCGGUGGCGAAGGCGGCUACCUGGACAGGUACUGACGCUGAUGCGCGAAAGCUAGGGGAGCAAACAGGAUUAGAUACCCGCGUAGUCC